UGGGGAAUAUUGGACAAUGGGCGCAAGCCUGAUCCAGCCAUACCGCGUGGGUGAAGAAGGCCUUCGGGUUGUAAAGCCCUUUUGUUGGGAAAGAAAUCCAGCUGGCUAAUACCCGGUUGGGAUGACGGUACCCAAAGAAUAAGCACCGGCUAACUUCGUGCCAGCAGCCGCGGUAAUACGAAGGGUGCAAGCGUUACUCGGAAUUACUGGGCGUAAAGCGUGCGUAGGUGGUCGUUUAAGUCCGUUGUGAAAGCCCUGGGCUCAACCUGGGAACUGCAGUGGAUACUGGACGACUAGAGUGUGGUAGAGGGUAGCGGAAUUCCUGGUGUAGCAGUGAAAUGCGUAGAGAUCAGGAGGAACAUCCAUGGCGAAGGCAGCUACCUGGACCAACACUGACACUGAGGCACGAAAGCGUGGGGAGCAAACAGGAUUAGAUACCCACGUAGUCCCUGAGCGGGCUGGCAAGGCGCAU
rnacentral:rRNA from 1 species